rnacentral:rRNA from 1 species
UACGUAGGCAGCAAGCGUUGUUCGGAUUUACUGGGCGUAAAGGGUGCGCAGGCGGCUUUUUAAGUUUGGUGUGAAAUCUCCCGGCUCAACUGGGAGGGUGCGCCGAAUACUGAGAGGCUAGAGUGUGGGAGAGGAAAGUGGAAUUCCUGGUGUAGCGGUGAAAUGCGUAGAUAUCAGGAGGAACACCGGUGGUGUAAACGGCUUUCUGGACCAUAACUGACGCUGAGGCACGAAAGCGUGGGUAGCAAACAGG